rnacentral:rRNA from 2 species
UGGGGGAUAUUGCACAAUGGGGGAAACCCUGAUGCAGCGACGCCGCGUGAGGGAAGAAGGUUUUCGGAUUGUAAACCUCUGUCUUGUGGGACGAUAAUGACGGUACCACAGGAGGAAGCCACGGCUAACUACGUGCCAGCAGCCGCGGUAAUACGGAGGUGGCAAGCGUUGUCCGGAAUUACUGGGUGUAAAGGGAGCGUAGGCGGGAAUGUAAGUUGAAUGUUUAAACUAUCGGCUCAACCGAUAAUCGCGUUCAAAACUGCGUUUCUUGAGUGAAGUAGAGGCAAGCGGAAUUCCUAGUGUAGCGGUGAAAUGCGUAGAUAUUAGGAGGAACACCAGUGGCGAAGGCGGCUUGCUGGGCUUUUACUGACGCUGAGGCUCGAAAGUGUGGGUAGCAAACAGG